UUGUGGCUUCCCGUCGGCGUGGUCGGGGUCACCAGUACCUCGUUGACUGGGAGGGCUACGGUCCUGAGGAGCGCUCUUGGGUCCCCCGCUCCUUUAUCCUUGACCCCUCCCUUAUUAGUGAUUUUGCCGCCUCUCAGCCUUCCUCCUCUUCUCGUCCGUCAGGUGACGUCCGUUGAGGGGGGGGUACUGUUAGGUUGGGGUUCUUUUUCCUGUUUUAUUUUGUUUUCUUUUCCUCUUCUGUCCUGGGUUUUUUCUGGGAAGCUGCGUUUCCUUUUACAGCCAUGAGAUGUCACCAGUGAGCGGAGCCCCUGGAGAAGUGUGGCGGCCAACCUGUAGACGCACCUGUGUCUAAUUUUCGAGAGCUGCGGAGGUGCUUCAUAAGGACAGCCUAGCUGACACUCCAGUGCCUGAGUGCUUGCCUUCACUGAUUUCCUUGUGAUCGCCCUGUGACUCCUGGAUGUGGACAAGCGCUCCCCCCUGGAUUUCCUUGUGUUCCUCACGACGCCAUUGGUAUUACCAAUCGGUUGCCUUCCUCCGUGCACUUACCUCCCUGGUCCCUCCCCGUGGAUCCUCUGUGCCUCGCCAUCGGCUGAGCCUGCCAGCGUUUCAUGUUCCGGGAGCUAACUGUCGAAGCCCCGCUCGGAAGUCAACUCACUCUGCUCUCCAGCUGCAAGGCUUACCUGCUCGCUCUCCGACGGUAACUCACUUCUCCAGCCGCCACCAUUGACAAUACUACCUCCGCAUUCAAUCUGACGACCAGUUUCCUCCAGUCCCAGGUUCCAGAACUAUUUCCCCUGACCCCUCUUCCUUUCACCAAAAUAAAUAUUAUUGUUGUUUCA